AGAUAUAUCACAUAAAUAUGUUUCCGAGAAUACUGUCAGUAAUCAAGUAUAUCACGAAGUUUUAAAAUGGACAUGCAUUCUUGGUGGCUUAAAGUGCAAAGAACAUAUUAAUGCUAUAUUAAGAUGGCAUUUUGAACAUCGUAUACAACACAGAUUGUUGCCAAGUUGGCAGAGAUGGAUAUAUUGCCAAGGAUUGAAGUUAAAAAUUGUAACUAAUUUUAUGUUGUGGCAUAAAAUACAUAAUAAUUACUUGUUACAAGAGAAAUUAGAACACUUUUUUCAACUUCUUCCUUGUUUCAACUUUGGAUUGAAUUAUAGUUUGGAAUCUUUGCGUUCUGCGACAUAUAAGUAUGUAACAAAAAGUGAUUCUGUUACCAUUCUUUUUGAUAUUGUUGCAAGACAUAUACAAAAUGUUUCUUCACUGAAUAUUAUAAUAAACGAAAUAGAACAUAAAUAUUCACCAAGAUACAUGAGUCUACUUGCUGUUGUGAAUUUUAGUAUUAAUCACAUAUAUUUAGAAGAAGGUUUU